GGUUAAGCGACUAAGCGUACACGGUGGAUGCCCUGGCAGUCAGAGGCGAUGAAGGACGUGCUAAUCUGCGAUAAGCGUCGGUAAGGUGAUAUGAACCGUUAUAACCGGCGAUUUCCGAAUGGGGAAACCCAGUGUGAUUCGUCACACUAUCAUUAACUGAAUCCAUAGGUUAAUGAGGCGAACCGGGGGAACUGAAACAUCUAAGUACCCCGAGGAAAAGAAAUCAACCGAGAUUCCCCCAGUAGCGGCGAGCGAACGGGGAGGAGCCCAGAGCCUGAAUCAGUGUGUGUGUUAGUGGAAGCGUCUGGAAAGGCGCGCGAUACAGGGUGACAGCCCCGUACACAAAAAUGCACAUGCUGUGAGCUCGAUGAGUAGGGCGGGACACGUGGUAUCCUGUCUGAAUAUGGGGGGACCAUCCUCCAAGGCUAAAUACUCCUGACUGACCGAUAGUGAACCAGUACCGUGAGGGAAAGGCGAAAAGAACCCCGGCGAGGGGAGUGAAAAAGAACCUGAAACCGUGUACGUACAAGCAGUGGGAGCACGCUUAGGCGUGUGACUGCGUACCUUUUGUAUAAUGGGUCAGCGACUUAUAUUCUGUAGCAAGGUUAACCGAAUAGGGGAGCCGAAGGGAAACCGAGUCUUAACUGGGCGUUAAGUUGCAGGGUAUAGACCCGAAACCCGGUGAUCUAGCCAUGGGCAGGUUGAAGGUUGGGUAACACUAACUGGAGGACCGAACCGACUAAUGUUGAAAAAUUAGCGGAUGACUUGUGGCUGGGGGUGAAAGGCCAAUCAAACCGGGAGAUAGCUGGUUCUCCCCGAAAGCUAUUUAGGUAGCGCCUCGUGAAUUCAUCUCCGGGGGUAGAGCACUGUUUCGGCAAGGGGGUCAUCCCGACUUACCAACCCGAUGCAAACUGCGAAUACCGGAGAAUGUUAUCACGGGAGACACACGGCGGGUGCUAACGUCCGUCGUGAAGAGGGAAACAACCCAGACCGCCAGCUAAGGUCCCAAAGUCAUGGUUAAGUGGGAAACGAUGUGGGAAGGCCCAGACAGCCAGGAUGUUGGCUUAGAAGCAGCCAUCAUUUAAAGAAAGCGUAAUAGCUCACUGGUCGAGUCGGCCUGCGCGGAAGAUGUAACGGGGCUAAACCAUGCACCGAAGCUGCGGCAGCGACGCUUAUGCGUUGUUGGGUAGGGGAGCGUUCUGUAAGCCUGUGAAGGUGUGCUGUGAGGCAUGCUGGAGGUAUCAGAAGUGCGAAUGCUGACAUAAGUAACGAUAAAGCGGGUGAAAAGCCCGCUCGCCGGAAGACCAAGGGUUCCUGUCCAACGUUAAUCGGGGCAGGGUGAGUCGACCCCUAAGGCGAGGCCGAAAGGCGUAGUCGAUGGGAAACAGGUUAAUAUUCCUGUACUUGGUGUUACUGCGAAGGGGGGACGGAGAAGGCUAUGUUGGCCGGGCGACGGUUGUCCCGGUUUAAGCGUGUAGGCUGGUUUUCCAGGCAAAUCCGGAAAAUCAAGGCUGAGGCGUGAUGACGAGGCACUACGGUGCUGAAGCAACAAAUGCCCUGCUUCCAGGAAAAGCCUCUAAGCAUCAGGUAACAUCAAAUCGUACCCCAAACCGACACAGGUGGUCAGGUAGAGAAUACCAAGGCGCUUGAGAGAACUCGGGUGAAGGAACUAGGCAAAAUGGUGCCGUAACUUCGGGAGAAGGCACGCUGAUAUGUAGGUGAAGUCCCUUGCGGAUGGAGCUGAAAUCAGUCGAAGAUACCAGCUGGCUGCAACUGUUUAUUAAAAACACAGCACUGUGCAAACACGAAAGUGGACGUAUACGGUGUGACGCCUGCCCGGUGCCGGAAGGUUAAUUGAUGGGGUUAGCGGUAACGCGAAGCUCUUGAUCGAAGCCCCGGUAAACGGCGGCCGUAACUAUAACGGUCCUAAGGUAGCGAAAUUCCUUGUCGGGUAAGUUCCGACCUGCACGAAUGGCGUAAUGAUGGCCAGGCUGUCUCCACCCGAGACUCAGUGAAAUUGAACUCGCUGUGAAGAUGCAGUGUACCCGCGGCAAGACGGAAAGACCCCGUGAACCUUUACUAUAGCUUGACACUGAACAUUGAGCCUUGAUGUGUAGGAUAGGUGGGAGGCUUUGAAGUGUGGACGCCAGUCUGCAUGGAGCCGACCUUGAAAUACCACCCUUUAAUGUUUGAUGUUCUAACGUUGACCCGUGAUCCGGGUUGCGGACAGUGUCUGGUGGGUAGUUUGACUGGGGCGGUCUCCUCCUAAAGAGUAACGGAGGAGCACGAAGGUUGGCUAAUCCUGGUCGGACAUCAGGAGGUUAGUGCAAUGGCAUAAGCCAGCUUGACUGCGAGCGUGACGGCGCGAGCAGGUGCGAAAGCAGGUCAUAGUGAUCCGGUGGUUCUGAAUGGAAGGGCCAUCGCUCAACGGAUAAAAGGUACUCCGGGGAUAACAGGCUGAUACCGCCCAAGAGUUCAUAUCGACGGCGGUGUUUGGCACCUCGAUGUCGGCUCAUCACAUCCUGGGGCUGAAGUAGGUCCCAAGGGUAUGGCUGUUCGCCAUUUAAAGUGGUACGCGAGCUGGGUUUAGAACGUCGUGAGACAGUUCGGUCCCUAUCUGCCGUGGGCGCUGGAGAACUGAGGGGGGCUGCUCCUAGUACGAGAGGACCGGAGUGGACGCAUCACUGGUGUUCGGGUUGUCAUGCCAAUGGCACUGCCCGGUAGCUAAAUGCGGAAGAGAUAAGUGCUGAAAGCAUCUAAGCACGAAACUUGCCCCGAGAUGAGUUCUCCCUGACCCUUUAAGGGUCCUGAAGGAACGUUGAAGACGACGACGUUGAUAGGCCGGGUGUGUAAGCGCAGCGAUGCGUUGAGCUAACCGGUACUAAUGAACCGUGAGGCUUAACCUU
rnacentral:rRNA from 1 species